CAUGGCGGAGACCCUGAGCCCCUGCUCCCCACGGGGCCAGUGCCAGCCCAGCAUGGGCGCCAACGCCUCGUCCGCCAACAUGGACACCAACGCCUCCGCCUCGAUGGUGGGCGGCAGCGCGUGGAGGGGCCGGGAGCCCUUCUCCGUCUUCACCGUCCUCAUCCUGACCCUGCUGGUGCUUCUGACCGUGGCCACCUUCCUGUGGAACCUGCUGGUGCUGGCCACCAUCCUGCGGGUGAAGGCCUUCCACCGGGUGCCCCACAACCUGGUGGCCUCCACGGCGGUGUCGGACGUGCUGGUGGCGGCCCUGGUGAUGCCGCUGAGCCUGGUGAAGGAGCUGUCGGCCGGGCGGCGGUGGCGGCUGGGCCGGGAGCUGUGCCUCGUGUGGGUGUGCUUCGACGUGCUGUGCUGCACGGCCAGCAUCUGGAACGUGACGGCCAUCGCCCUGGACCGCUACUGGUCCCUCACCCGGCAGCUGCAGUACACGCUGCUCGCCCGCCGCCGCAUCUCCAACGUCAUGAUCGCUCUCACCUGGCUGCUCUCCGCCGCCAUCUCCCUCGCCCCGCUCCUGGGCUGGGGGGAGACCUACAGCCCCGAGCAGGAGCGCUGCCAGCUCAGCCAGGACCCGUCCUACACCAUCGUCUCCACGGGCGGGGCGUUCUACCUGCCCCUCUGCGUGGUGCUCUUCGUCUACUGGAAGAUCUACAAGGCGUCCAAGUUCCACAUGUGGGGCCGCAGGAGGAACGCCGUGGUGCCCCUGCCCGAGGCUGCCCAGGUGAAGGAAGCUUCGCAGGAACCACAGAUGGUGUUUACAGCUCGUCGUGCAGCUAUCACUUUCCAGACAGAUGGAGAAACAUGGAGAGAACAGAAAGAGAAAAAGGCAGCUCUGAUGGUUGGCAUCUUAAUAGGAGUUUUUGUACUGUGCUGGAUCCCUUUCUUCAUCACCGAAUUAAUAAGUCCCCUCUGUUCCUGCAACAUCCCACCCAUCUGGAAAAGCAUCUUUCUGUGGCUUGGCUACUCAAAUUCUUUCUUUAAUCCUCUCAUAUACACAGCAUUUAACAAAAAUUACAACAAUGCCUUCAAGAACCUUUUUGUAAAGCAAAGAUAAAAGGGGACGCAGAGGAGAAAAUUAUUAUUGCAUAAUUGAGAGAUUUCUUGAGGGAAACAUGCCUGUGAUACGUACAGUUUUCAUGCACAAGAGCUACUUGACGGGACUUGGGAGCAGUGCAAAAGAAGAUGGAAGAUGUCUGGAUCUAAACCUACUGAGAGUUUACAGUUCCCCCUUAGAAAUACAUCUGUGCUAUGCCAGGGUUUGGCAAAGAAGGUGGAAGCAGGGAAUGCCUCCUGUCCUCUCUUCAAAUCCUCACAGGCUGAGGUCUGCCAGCGAAGCUCUGCGCGUGUCCGGUGCCACGGCUGUCACACCCCACGGGCCGAUCCCACCCAACCGGGGCUGUGCUGGAGCUCUCCUCAUUAGCAAAGGCACCCCUGGGAGCUGCUAACUGAGCAAUACUGACAUGUUUGUGAUCUGGGCAGCAUGCUGGCUUCGGGUUUGGGAUUUAUCUGGAAGGGAAUAAGCUUGCUGCAGUCAAUCAGUCUUUGAGUUGAUAUGAGAUAGUGUUGAGGGGCUGUGUGCUCUGCAAGCAGCAGGCCUUCAUGGGCAGACUUGGUCAAACAGGGCUCAGCUGUGUCACCUAGGGUUAAGUGAAACUUAAGAGGCAAGUACAGAAUUAUUCAGAGCCCCUGAGAAUGUGUCCUCACUGCUUCCACAGGAGGAUCCAUUGAGGAUUUUUCACUUGUGUUGUCCUGUCACUCUGCCAGGCUCAGACUCUCCCUGUCUUAUGAAACCCAGGUGAGCUCAAGAUAGACGCCAACACUUCCAAGCAAAUGGAGACUGUGUGCAUGUACCAUAAACCUGAGCAGGCAUCUGUGUUACAGACACCAAACAGGAUGUUCAGUCACACCAGGUGUGCUGGCUGCAACGUGUGGCUGCGUGGCAGUUGUAGAUGAGUGCCUGCACUAUGUCUGGGACCCUUGCACCAUUAAUGUGCUCAUCACCCAGCCUGGCUGAAGUCCACGAUUUGUCAGCUGGCAUCAACUUCCUCCUACUGUAACAAAGGUGUUGACGCCAUCAACAGGUCUAAGUGACUCCCCAAAACUCAAAGGGGUUCAAACUCAAGCCUUACGUAGUUUUCCCAAGAUCUGACAAAAACCCCUGACCUGAAUAUAUAUAAUAUAUAUACAUAAAUAAUCUAUUUCCUCACAUACUGCCAGUCCAUCUUGCUCCAUAUUUGUUUCUCUGGUGGGUUUUAUUUCCUCCCCUGCUCUGAGUGGGAGAGCUGACAGCAUCCCUGAGUAUUUCUAGCAUGGCAGCUUUUACUGACACAGUCCCAGAAGGCUUAAGGGAGCUUGGCUGCAUGUCAGGAGCACAGUGUAUGGUGAGGUCAGGCACUGCUGAACCUCACACCUGCAGUGCUGUGACAGUCCAGUGUGACCUGCUGUGCCUGCAGCCACAGCCACCUGUGAGUCUUGCAUUCCUGCAGAGGAUGCUUCUCUCAAUUUCAGUGGGAAUUCAGAAGGUUUAAUAACCUAGAAUUUCAAAGAGUUGUUAGAUAGUGACUCAGACUUAAAUGCCAAUUUAAAUAACGUUCCCUUGUGACUCCCAACUUGCCUGCAUAUGGAAUCACUACCAUUCAAACCAGGCGUAAUUAAACCAGAAGGAAGGCACAUAUGUAAGAGACUGAAUGUUACUAAAACCUUCAGCCUCAUUCAGAACCACUGACAAAUUUUUCAAGUCAAUCAAAUAUUUUCAUGUCACUGCUCUAAAACCUGAGCUGCUGUUGAAAAGCCUAUAAAUCUUCUGCAUGUAGAACUCCUGAAGUUUCUAAUAAUCAUGUUUUGGACAAAUUUUACUGCCUGUAUUCCCUCAGCCUGGCAAGCCAAGUCAUUGCUAUGACACAAAUCCAAUGCCAACCCUGGGGCCCUGGCCCAUCCCAGUCUGGCUGCAGGAGCUGCAGUGACAUCCAGCUGCACAUUCCAACUGACUGGAGCAGCAACUGGCUCCAGUUCCAGAACCCUUCCCUGAAGCAACACAGGCUGUGAAGGCACCUUCUGCCAUGGCUUGGCCUCUGGAACUUGGGAGACCACCACAGAGCUGCAAGGCCCCUGUGCAGUUCCUGCAGUUGCACAGGUGCAGGGCAUUGCUGCAGAUGCUGACCCACAGCAGAGUGCCUUCAGCAAGCGGGAGAGCUUGCAGGGCACUGACACAGUUCUCCUCCUCCUCAAGGAUGAAUUUAGCUCCCUCAGGAGGCGAGGCUGGGCCUCUGGGAUUUUGCUGUGAGAAGUUCUGAAGAUAAGCAGCCAGUGCUCUGCCCACCCGAGUGUCUGUGCCAGCAGCGAGUGUCACAGCGACAGGCUCACACCAGCCUCCCUACGUACCCAGAGGCGAGAGGCAGGCACAGCUUUCAUUUCAUCACAGCAGCUUUAGAAAGCCCUUAAAAUCGACUUCCCACACUGGCUCUAAAUGCAGACUGCAUUUAGAAGAGCAGCAGCUCAAAUUCGGGAUUUAAAAUUCUGUUUUUCAAUCACAGCUUACUGUGGGGCAAAGAAAAUACAUUAUUGAUGGUUGUUGCCUAACCUGCUGGAUGCUCCCAUAUGAACUAAGCUAAAUGACACAAUAUCCUGACUAUCCAAACAGAAAAAAAAACCAACAAAAUCAGGUAUUCUAAAGGCACAUCAUUUGGCACAGCUUAGAUGUUGGGUCAUUUAUUUCCCCAACAGAAGCUGCCGGUUUGGAAUACACCAAUCACCUCUGCUUGUAAACAGUGGACUACUAGUUUUAAACUUUAUUUCCUGACACUGAAGUUGCUCUUAGAAAAACUUACUAAAGCCUAUUGCUCAGCAGAAGGGCAGUGUUGCAUCCUGCAGCAGCUGGGCUGGGGGAGCCCAGAAUGUGCGAAAUGAAAGGGCUUUGGAAGAUGAGUGUGAGCAGACAAUGCUAAUAAUCCUAAUAAAAAAAUUAAGUUUUGCUGCAAGUCCUGUAAAUGUUACUUUACAAGCCUGGUGACACCAAAUGAAGUCAGGACAAGACCUUUCUCUUUCAACAAGGAAACGCAGCAAUACUGAGGAAAAAUUCUAUGUCUAAGUUCCUCACUUGCAACCAGCUGAGAUGGAGAAUUGAAGCAGAUUCUCCUUGCUGUUGUUUCCUCCCCAGGAAUGAGGAGAAAUGGCACCCAACACAUUGAGCCUGUGCCAGAAACAAGGAACAGCUGAUGGAACUGCUUUCACACCCCUCACCAACCUUUCUUCUUUUCACAUGGGCCUCACACCAAAGGUAGUGGCCACCUGCCCUGGGCUCCAUCUACUGCAGACAGUCACUUACCUUAUGGACUAUGAUUUAUCCUUUGUGAGCAACAACUGCAUCUUCACAAGCAUCAAAUUUAUAUCUUAAUCAAAAUCACAAGCUCCUAGACAGGGCAUUGAUCUCACAUUUUUAUAUUCCUUGUGGAAUUUUCCAGGUUACUGUGUCUGUAGCAGAGGUUUUGCUGAGAUCAUUCUGCGGUUCUAGCAAGGAAAGCGAGAGGAGCCAGACCUUCAUUCGGUUCUGUUUGAUGCCUUCUACAAUCUGCUCCAUCUGCCGCAGAAACUGCUCCCGAGACCCGGACGAUGCCAUGGCUCUGGAAAGAGAACGGAACACCUGGCAGGGAUGUGGGACACCGUGUCUCAGCUGCAGCUGUCUUGCACAUCUGCCCAUGUCCAAAGUUCUCACUGCUUAGUGCUCUGGGUAAAAAUUCAUCCUUUUAAUCGCUGGUACCACUGACAGUGCAGCUCUGCAGCUGGUGUGAGCUACCAAAGAGCCUGUCCGAAGUGUUCUCCCUGAGAGCUCAAGACUGUUCCUUGCUCUCAUGUGCUCUACAGAAAUCAGCUGCUAAUAACUAAACAAAAACAUAAUUCAAGAAAAGCUGUUGUGAAUAGUAAGAAGGUGAAUAGAGGUCUAGGAGAACAGCAAAUGUACAAAAUAAUUUCACGCUGUAAUAGGGAAAGCCUAGAAGUCAUUUUAGGCCUUAAAAUUGUUAGAGAAAAAUAAACACUGGGUGAUUCACAGAUUGAUAUUUGACCAUGAACUUCCAAAGCAACCACAAUUUUACCUAGGCUCCACACUCCAUACAGAGAUAAUUUAUAAUAAACAUAUCUGAAAUAUGUCCCAGUCUAAUGUUUUGUACAUAAUGUAAUAACCACAACUCCACAAAAAGGAGGAAAAGAUUUAAAUUAAUUCCAGGAAAAUUAUGACUGAAUUUCCACAUCUAAAGCGUUAGAUAUCAAAAACAUAUGUUUGCUAUAAAAGUUACUUAAUUCCAAGUCUGUGAUUCCCCAAACUGGCUUAAACAGAGUUAAUA